rnacentral:rRNA from 1 species
AGGGAUCAGCUGGCUGGCCCCAUGAGGUGACUUCUGCCCAGUGCUCUGAUUGUCAAUGCGAAGAGAUUCAGCCAAGCGCGGGUAAACGGCGGGAGUAACUAUGACUCUCUUAAGGUAGCCAAAUGCCUCGUCAACCAAUUAUUGACGCGCAUGAAUGGAUCAAUGAGAUUCCUGCUGUCCCUAGCUGCUGUCUGGUGAACCAACAGCCAAGGGAACGGGCUUGGAUGUGUCAGCGGGGAAAGAAGACCCUGUUGAGUUUGACUCUAGUUUGAUGCUGUGCAACGACAUGUGGGGUGUAGCAUAGGUGGGAGGCAAGUGCCAUACCAUCAUCCAAGUCCAGCUGAGGCAAGCAGCAACCAACCAGUCGUGUGUGAAGGGCCGCGCCAGCAAUGGCCGAGCCUGUGCCGAAGCAAGCAAGCCGUGUGGCAAAGUGUGCGAGAGUGGCCGUGGUGCAAGCCAGCAAUGAAAUACCACUACCUUCACCGUCGUUUUACUCAUCGAGUGGCCAGGGGACAGUUGCCAUUGGACAUCGGCUCCUGUGUCAAAGCAGGAGUCGUGGCACCUACCUGCUUCGUGCGCCAAGCGUGGGGCUUCUGCUCCACGCGACCCUGUGGGUUGACCACCCUACCACAUUCGGAGCCUCGGGACAAUGAUCAGUUGGGGAGUUUGGCUGGGGCGGCACGCCUGUUACAUCACAACGCAGGCGUCCUGAAGCAUUGCUCAGAUGGAACAGAAAUCUUGCCUGGAGGAGCAGGCCAUAGGUGCUGCUGAUGCUGUGACUUCCAGUACAAGUCCAAAACGUGCAAGUGUGGCCUUGCGAUCCUUUGGUUGAGUGCACGGGUUCUGGAUAUUGAAGCCAGAGGUGUCAGAAAAAUUACCACAGGGAUAACUGGCUUGUGGCAGCCAAGCGUUCAAAGCGACGUUGCUUUUUGAUCCUUCGAUGUCGGCUCUUCCUAGCUUGCCACCCGCAGCAGAGUGCAAGAGUUGGAUUGUUCACCCACCAACAGGGAACGUGAGCUGG